UUGACCGCUUGAGAGAUCAAGUUUUCCCUUCGGGGACAAUGGUGACAGGUGGUGCAUGGUUGUCGUCAGCUCGUGUCGUGAGAUGUUGGGUUAAGUCCCGCAACGAGCGCAACCCCUAUCCUUAGUUGCCAGCAUUCAGUUGGGCACUCUAGGGAGACUGCCGGUGACAAACCGGAGGAAGGUGGGGAUGACGUCAAAUCAUCAUGCCCCUUAUGAGUUGGGCUACACACGUGCUACAAUGGACGGUACAAAGGGCAGCGAGACCGCGAGGUGGAGCCAAUCCCAUAAAGCCGUUCCCAGUUCGGAUUGCAGGCUGCAACUCGCCUGCAUGAAGUCGGAAUCGCUAGUAAUCGCAGGUCAGCAUACUGCGGUGAAUACGUUCCCGGGUCUUGUACACACCGCCCGUCACACCACGAGAGUUUGCAACACCCGAAGCCGGUGAGUAA
rnacentral:rRNA from 1 species